GGAUGUGGCGGACGCAUUCACGACGGUGUAUCGCAUUUUAAAUUUCUGGGAGGAUUGACAGAUUGUGAGCUCCUUCUUGAUUCGGUGGAUGGUGGUGCAUGUCCGUUCUUAGUUGUUGGAGCGAUUUGUCUGGUUGAUUCCGACAUGCCUAUUAAAUAGGUCCGUGGUUCUCUGCAUCUUGCACCCUUCUUAGAGGACAAGCGGGUUUAUACUUCGUCUCACCCUACGAUGAACUAAAGGCAAAUGCUACAGACCGCCAGAUCAGAUCACGAGCCCUUAGAAAUUGUGCGGUACUUCGCAUCGAUGCACGUAUCGGAUCUCGCGUCUCGGAUCACUAAUCAGGAGAUGGGUGGACAGUGGCUGGAAUCGAAGAGCACUGAGUGACUUAAGAAUUUUACAUCGCAAAGAAAGCCACGACAUAUAGGCUCUUUGCAGCGUGGAAGCUAUAGAAAUGAUACGGUGCUUUUAGGUUCAGAGGAUUAUUCGCCCGCCCCUGAUGAAUGUUAAGUGUGUCAUAGUAUAGCGUGGAAUGGGAUUGGACCUGGCGGCCCGUGGCUUUGGCCCUUAGUCCAUCGUAGGAUGAGACAGAGUAUAGCCGCACGAAACAGAGAAAUAACAGGUCUGUGAUGUCCUUAGAUGCCCAGGGCCGCACGUGCGCUACACUGAAGGAAGCAGCGCGUUUUUAUCCCUGUAUGUUAAAACAGUAAGCUUAGAAAAAAGUGACUAGGAAACACAGAGUGCUAAUUGAAGUUUAACAGAUUACCUCCGAGAA
rnacentral:rRNA from 1 species